ensembl:lncRNA
GAGGGUGAUAUGGAGGAUUGAGGAUCAACAGGGGUGAGGACGUCGGAAAGCGGGCAAGUUGUGAAACUACAUGUUUGGACCACUUUGAGUUGAGUGAUAAAGGCAAAAGGACAUAUGGCUACAAGUGGAGCUUAGGAAUUGGAUCGGUAGUGACUGACUCUGUGGAUGUGAGGAGAUUGAAGAUAUCCCCCCUCGACAGAUAAGUGCUUUCUGUAUAUAUUGAGGAGACGGUGUAGCUAUGCUGGGAAACUAAUAGUGCUGUGAAUGUGGCUCUACACAUGGUUGGUCCUCUUCACCUUGCUCGCUGACUCCCUCGACUGGUAAAUAAGUUAGCCCUGUGUGACGGCGGACUGGCAUCUCUUAUGCGAGCUGGUUAUUUCAUGACAUAAUAAGGUAGCUGUGUGACUCCCCACUGUGGAGUGUUGUCUUGUGCCCACAGAGCCUGGAGAGCUGUUGAUGUAUAAAGUUAAGCUGCCCCAUCACUGUUACGCUCUAACCGUCGGAGUCUGGAGAGCCGUUGUGUAACAAGCUAAACUGCUUCAUCGCUGUUUCACCCCAACCGCCUGAGCCUGGAGAGCCAUUGUUGUAUCCAGUUAUACUGCCCCAUUGCUGUUACGCUCCAACUGCCUGAGCGUAGAGAAGGACGUGCUGUAUCCAGGCCAGCCAUUUGUUGCUGUCUUAAUCCAGCAGAGACUGGUAGCCCUUCCUAACAGAACAAGUUACCUGUAGAUUGUUGACCGACAUCUGUGGAGACCAUUCGAUCUCCCUUUUAUACCACGCCGUCUGGCAAUUACUGCCCUGCAUCAGUGGAAUUCAAUAAAUGGUUCACUGCUUGAAGUCGACUUAUUUGUGCAGCCCCCCCUUCUGCAGACUUCAAAGCUCCAUCCUUUUAGACUUUUCUUGCAAAGAUAUUUAAUAAAGGAAACUUCAUUGUUUUAAACAAUCUCCUUCUUGCCCUGGUCUUUGUCGGGUAAGAUACGUGGUGCUCCCUUGGGGGGGGAAGAGAAGAGCCAGUGGCGGAAAGCGCCCCCUGCCUGUGACACUGCUGUUCCUGAACCCUGCAACUCCAAACCAUGAAGUGAGGCAGUAGUUCAAAAUGUUUUCAAUGGUUCCCCUAUAGAAGGUGGUAAGGAGAUGGUUGGGGAGACCUGCCUUUCUAAGUCACCCAGAAAUUUGAGAAGUGCACAUAUCCAAAC